AGUAAGAAGCCUGAAUUAAAGGGUUACAAUGAUAGAGUAAAACAUGCAUAUUAAAUGCUCUUACUA
rnacentral:tRNA from 1 species